ACGCUCGACACCUACGGGAGGCGGCAGUGGGGAAUAUUGCACAAUGGGGGAAACCCUGAUGCAGCGACGCCGCGUGAGCGAAGAAGUAUUUCGGUAUGUAAAGCUCUAUCAGCAGGGAAGAAACUGACGGUACCUGACUAAGAAGCACCGGCUAAAUACGUGCCAGCAGCCGCAGUAAUCUGAGCGGGCUGGCAAGGC
rnacentral:rRNA from 1 species